AGCGAACGCUGGCGGCAUGCUUAACACAUGCAAGUCGCACGGGCACUUCGGUGUCAGUGGCGGACGGGUGAGUAACGCGUAGGUAUCUAUCCUUGGGUGGGGGACAACUGUGGGAAACUACAGCUAAUACCGCAUGAUAACUGAGGUUUAAAGGCGCAAGUCGCCUGAGGAGGAGCCUGCGUACGAUUAGCUAGUUGGUGGGGUAAAGGCCUACCAAGGCUACGAUCGUUAGCUGGUCUGAGAGGAUGAUCAGCCACAUUGGGACUGAGACACGGCCCAAAACUCCUACGGGAGGCAGCAGUGGGGAAUAUUGGACAAUGGGCGAAAGCCUGAUCCAGCAAUGCCGCGUGGGUGAAGAAGGUCUUCGGAUUGUAAAGCCC
rnacentral:rRNA from 1 species